ensembl:lncRNA
GGGAGUGAUCCGGGGCCUCUGGAUGAUCCAGGGAUCAGAUUAGUGGUGGGGGAAGAAGGAGGUGGAGGGGGCGGGACAGGGGUGUGGCAGUCAAGGGACGUAUUUAAGUCCCAAUUCCACUUUUGUGAGUUCUUGUCACUGGACCAGAGCAUAGGAACACAUCCAGGUUACACGAUGUCUGACCCAGGGGAUCUUCCUAAAGGUAAGCUGGUGUGAGAACUGAAGGAGAGAUAUGUGCAGAAGUUGAGAGCAGCUGACAGGGUGGUGGAGACUGCUUGGAAGCUGUCAUCUGAGGGCAAACCCAAUCAGAGGGAAACCAAAGUCUGCCUUUGAAUUCCAAAUCUCCCCCUUGUUAACUGUGUUAUAAUUCCUCUAAUCAUUGGGAAAUGGGAACUCUGAUCUCCAUUAGGUUGAUUAAUCAACUUAAGUUGUCGAAUUUAGGCUUAACCAAGAAAUCUGGAAAGCUCGUCAUUUUAUUGAGCAUUUACUGGAUUCCAGGGCUUGUGCUAAAUCACUUUCAGGCAUGAUCUGAUUCAACCAUUAAAAUCUUUUAAGGAGGUUAUGGUUAGAGAAGUCUCCAGUUCACAGAUAACGUUGUUGUUGAUCGAGGCUUAGAGAGAUGAAAUGCUCGGUCCGGGUUCACUUAGCAGGAAAGCCCCAGAAGUAUCCACAAAGGAAAAGAACCAUGUUCACUCAGAAACAACUGGCAGAUUUGCGGCUCCUGUUCAAUGAGAACCCAUACCCGACCUCCAGCCUUCAGAGAGAAAUGGCCUCAAAAAUGGAGAUACAUCCAACAGUCGUGAAGGUUUGGUUCAAGAACCACAGAGCAAAACUCAAGAGAGCCAAAUACAAGCCUAUUCAGCAAAAACAACAAGAGGCUCAACAGCAGCAAUUAGCUGAGGCAGGAGGCAAGGCCAGCUCUUCCAAGACAGGCGCGGAUACACCUCCCAGAUCCCCUCGCAGGGCCCUCCCCGCAUCCCUGGUUUAUACAGAGCAUCCAGAGCAUCCAGUGCCUGCUUUCCAGCUCCGCCUGUGCCCCAAUUUUAAUGCUCACACAGACCACUUUGUUGGCCACAAAAUAGUUCAUUUCGGCUGCUGCCGAGACCCUAACAUAUACUGCCUCUCUCCCACUCUGGAAUCCCAAGUUCUUUCCACGAGCAUCAGCGCUAAUUCCUUCUGCUCUUCAUCACCACCAAGAUCUUGUCAGUGAGAGGACCCAGACACAAAAAGUCACGUGGUGGAAUGAUUUGUAAUGAUUCCCACACACGAGAAUGCUUUUCAGCCAUAAAAAGGAAGGAACACAAGAUAUACACAACAUGGAUGCGUUUCAACAUUGUGUUGAAUGAAAGAAAAAAAGACACGAAAGACAACAUACUAUAUAAUUCCAUUUAUAUGCAUUCCUGGAGCAGGAAAUGCCACAGCGCCAAAAAACACAUUAGCGGCUGCCCAUGUGGUAGAUCUAAGAGACUAGUAUGGGCAGUAUCUUUUUUCUUUUUCCUGCUUCUUUGUUAUGAUUUUAUUUUUUUUCUCCAGUAUCAUUCAGGUUUAGUCACUGUCAGUAAGUGGAGCUUUGGCUUAUUUUUUUCUACUUUCUAUUUUUCAGUCACCUUCCCAGCCAUCUCUUUAUAACUUUGACCACUCAAAUAUUUCCAGCUCCCAAAUUUUUCUUUUGUUAAUCUUUUUUUUUUUUUUUUUAAGAUUGGUACCCGAGCUAACAUCUGUUGCCAAUCUUCCUUUUCCUUUUUUUCUUUUCUUCUUCUUCUCCCCAAAGCGCUCCCCAGGACACAGCUGUACACUCCAGGUGCAGGUCCUUCUGGUUGUGCUAUAUGGGACACCACCCCAGCCUGGCCCAAUGAGUGGUGCCACGUCUGCACCCAGGAUCUGAACCGGCAAACCCCAGGCCACCGAAGCAGAGGGCACGAACUCAACCACUUGGCCACGGAGCUGGUCCCUCAACUCUCCUUAAGACAAUGAAACAUGCUCUCCUAAGCCAUCUGUAACCCCCCAGAAGGAACCGCUAUUUUGACUUUUGCCUAUUCAUAAAUUUCACAUAAGUUGAAUCAUUCCAUAUGGACUCCUCUGUGUGCCUUCUUUCACUCGCCAUGUUCUAGAUGAAAUUCACGCAUAUUGUUGAGAGUACACCGUUAACAAUGAAAAAUCCUUGGUAGAACCCAGUGGUUCUCCAGCAGGGGUGAUUUGCAUACCAGGUGACAUUUGGCAGUGUCUGGAGAUAUUUUUGGUUGGCAUAGCUGGGGGGUGAGGAGGGUGCCGCUGGCACGUAGUGGGUGGAGGUCAAGGAUGCUACUGAACGUCCCACAAUGCGCAAGUCAGCCCCCCACGACAAAGAAUGAUCCAGCCCAAAAUGCUGUUGGUGCCAGGGAGAGAAACCCUGGAAUACCCUGAGAGACUGAAUAUACAAAUGGACAGUGUCCAGACCCCAUCUAAAAAGAGAACUCCGACCCACCACCUCUGUACCAACCAGUCCAGGAAACCAAACCACAACCCCUGUAGCAAGUGGCCCAAAGUGGCCAGGACUUGAUCAAUCAUUGACAGCUUCCCUAAUGCGUGCAGCCCUUCCACCCUCACUUUCAACUUAGGACCAACCAGACAAAGCCACACAUGUUCCUCUGGCCAAUCACGUAGGACACCCCACUUCUAAUUAGCCCGCCUCCAGCUUCCCCAUGCCGACCAGUCUCCAGUCAGAGCACACCUGAAGAUUUCUUUUUUCCACUAUAAAGCGUUCAGACUCCUUUGCUUGCCUUUUGGUCUCUGCCAAACCCCUUGAUAGUGGCUGACUCCCUUACUGUAGCAAGCUCUGAAUAAAUAUUUUCUUGUUUUCAUUUCAUUUCAUUUUCACUGAUUUCCACAAACCUUCUACCUAGCCCAUAUUUAGAUUUCUCUGCUCAUUCUCAAAAUACUUUCUCAAUAUCCAUUGUUUGAGUCAGCGUCCCAGCAACAUCCACACAUCAGCGGCUACAAACGGCCAUUACCUAAUUCAGCCGUUCCUUCCACAAUUAUCAGAUAGAUGCUCCUGCUUGGGAGAACGUUUCCUCAUCAAUUAUCACAAACAAAAUCCCGGUUCCCAGAAAAGCGCCAGCAACAAAGCAGGCAUUGAAGAUGUUUUCAAAAGAAAGAAAAAAAGCAAAGAGAGAGGGAUUGGUUGAUUCAGUGAAUGAAUGGCAUCCUCAGGAUAAGAGCCCCGACUCACAACAAACCCGGGCUCUCCUCCCUCACCACCUUCUAGCCCAGUAUUGCUCAAACCUGCUGGUAAGAUGAUGAAAAACACCGGGGGAGCUUUCAAAUCCCAGAUUCCAGGAGCGGAGGGAGUUUGCGGUCUCGGGAAGCAGGCACAAUUUUACCAGAUUUUACCCAGGAUCGUAUUUAAACAACGGUCAAAGUGCAGGAGGCACAGCCAAAGCCUGAGACAGGCAGAGAGAUACAUUUCUUGGAGAAGAUGAAAAGGAGACACUCCCAGAGGAUGUCCCCACGGCCACCUUCAAGCCAUCCACAGUCCUUGAGGACACCCUCCCUGUGCAUGGACGUCCAUCAUGGUGACUCUCCCAGCACCUUCGGUUCCGUGGAUCCCAGAGGGAACCCAACACCAAAUCCCCGCACCCCUCCAAUUUGGUCCCAGAACAGAAGAACCAGAGCAGGAUACGUCAACCCCAUCAAAGUCAGGAGGAAUGGGCCAGAGUGGAGACGGCGGACAUGUUGUCUCUCCCAACACCUCCGAGGCCCCCUCGUCUGCUAUGCAGGUCUCCUCACCUGCAAAGCAGGGCCCUUUAUGGGUCUCUGCGUCUCCACAUCUCGAAAGUCUGUAAUGCCAGUCUCCUCUUUGUUUCCACGCCUGAGACGCGGGUCCCCUCUCCCAUCUCCUCUCCUGCUAAGCUCCCACUGCCAGUCUUCUCUCCCUCGACCCCCCCAAGAUCUGAGACACAGGUCUCCGCUCGGAUCUUCACGCUCCCCAUGCUCGCAUCUCCAGUCUCCACACCUGUCAUGCAGCUCUCCUUGCCGACCAGUCUCUUCCCUGGACUCCACGCCUGAGACGCGUGUCUCCUCUCGCAUCUCCUCACCCGCCAAGCCCUCACUGUCAGUCUUCCGGCCCCUCUCCACGCCCACAACGCCUGCGACGCUGGCGAUCUCCCCUACAACGCCCACGACGCAAGUCCCCUCCCGGGUCUCCACGCAAGUGUCACGGGUCUCCUCACCUUCAAUGCCCACGACUCCUGGGACGCAUGUCUCCAAGCCAAUCUCCACUCCCCGCACGCCAGUCUCCACACCUGCAACACCGGAGACACGGUCUCCUUUUCGAUGCCCACGCUCCAGUUGCCCGCAUCUCCGGUCUCCACGCCUGGAACGCAGCUCUCCUCGGCCAUCUCCCCACCCCAGACCGCUGCAACGUCCGGGACGCGGGUCUCCCCACCGGUCUGCACGCCCACCAUGCCCUCGACACCCUCGUCUGGCAUCUUUUCGCUCAUCUCUAUGCCUCCGAUACCAGUCUCCUCCCUCGACUCCACGCCACCAACACCCCAAGGCAGCUCUCCGCUCCUGUCUCCUCACCUCGCUGGUCAAACCCCACUGCCAAUCUCCUCGCCCCUCUCCACGCCCCCGACGUCUGUGACGCCAGUCUCCCGCCCCGGACGUUGGUGAUGCCCCGGACAGAGACUUCCUCUCCAGUCUCCAUGCGUAAGCCCCUGUCGCCAGUCUCAUCGCCCGCCUCCACGUGCGCAAGACCUGUCUCGUCGCCUACAACGCCCGUGACACCCACAGUGCAAGUCUUCUCAGCUGCCAAGUGCCCUCUCCUGCAACGGUGGCGACGCUGGACUCCGUACUGGUCUCCACGCCCGUUGCGCUCCAGCUGCGGGUGUCCUCGCCAGUGUCGGUGCCCUGGCAUCCGCGCUCCUGCCCUUGCAAGUCUCCUCUCCUGAAACGCGUGCAACUCAUGAGUCUUAUCUCCCAGCCCCCCCGAGGUCACCUCCCAUCUGUUCACUGGUCCCAACUCCCUCUUGGCCCACAAGGCUGGUCUCCUCGCGCAGACACACCAAUUCCAGGGAAAUCUUUCUUUGACCUCAGGAACCUAGAUCUUGUUCAGAGGUGGGAACUUGUUUAAUUGGAAUUUGGCACCAUUUGAGUUCUGCCUUGUCUGUUCCGACCUGGGAAUUUGGUUCUUCUCCGUCUCAGCAAUGAUCUUCCAGCUUCUCACUAUGGAUCAGUAAUCUUUCCCCCUCGAUAGCGCAGAUGGAAGGUUUGCGCUCUGCCCUCAGGCCCUCUCCAAACGCCAGCAGUUGAAUGGAUCCCUAUUCACCCGCUGUCUUGAUGCACCCCCCCACACACACACACACAGAUGCACGCGCACACGCAGGCACACACGCGCGCGCGCGCGCAAAGCUCUGCAUCUACAAGCCCAGGAAUCCCAUCACCCAUCAAGUGCACUAGACCUCAUGGACCCGUGGGAUCAGAGCUCCAGCUAUGAAUAGUCCAGAGAGAAAAGUUUGCCCCCUUCUGGUCACUCCCCUCUUUUUGUCUGCUGCCCCCCCCCCCCCCCCCCCNNNNNNNNNNNNNNNNNNNNAGUAUAUAUGCUACGUCUCUGCUUCCACUGUCUUCAAACAGGGCAAGCAAGAAGGUCUCGAGCCUGUUUGUCCACAGUUUGUGCUUAUUCACAGAGCCUUGCCUGCAGGACCUCUCUCGCAGAGAAGGUCCCAUGACUGAACUCGGUGAACGUGGUGGAAUAUUUCAUAUAUUGUCUAUAACUGUGAGCUGGUAACAGGAUGCGCGUGCCUAGGUUUAGCGCUGCAAUGCAUUCAGUUGGAGGUAUGUCACCCUGUCCACCAGACCCUCUAUGGAAUCCCAGAAUGCAGUUCUGCACAGUGCAUGUUAGGGCAUCAGUAAGACACCCAGCUGCCCAGGAGCUGAAGUGGGGUCUCCGCCACCCACUUAGGGCAUCUCCCCUCAUUGUUUGCUCCCCAGACAAAUGCCCACCUGUUUAGCUGCCAUCCCACUGGAGCUUAUUCCAUCUACAUUACUUUUUCUUUUUCUCUCUCAUCCCCUGCCUCUCUCUCAUUUUCUUGCCCACCACAGACCACUCUUCCAAUGUCCAAAAACGUUUAUUUCCCUUAUUUAUAUGAGCAACUUUGUUUAUUUGAGUCCUCCUUUCCUAGGACAUUUUCACGGGAGCAUAUGUUUUUAAUGUACAUAAAUAAGAUUGUAUUUUAAAUUUCAUUCUGUUUAUUUUUUGCACACCACUAUUUAUAAAACUGUGUGACACUGAGUGUAUUUAUCCCAUUGCUUCUCACUGCUGCAUCAUAUUCCCUGGUGUGCAUCUCCACGUGUUGCUGGCAUCUUCCUUCAGUAAUGCCCUUAGGCUGCCUCCCACUCCCAUGACUGUGAAGGAUUCUGUGACAACCCCCUCAACUGUCAUCUCGUUUGACCAGGAUGAGAGUUUCUUCCUCGAUUCAUUCCCAGGAUCCUGGCUACUUGGUCAUGUUUUAAACGUAUAAAACAUUUAAUCUCCAUCAUGGAUACCCCAGUCUACACUCUGACCUUUAGCCCUGACCCCUGUCAACCCACACCAUUUAUCAGCUUUUUAUCAUUUCACCUUUCUGAAGGGCAUACAGAGAAAGCCUUUCCUUCAUGUUUUUCAAAAUAUCCUGUUCUUCCACAUAAAUUUUAGAAUAGUUGAGAAUUUAUUCCAUAUUAUUCUUUUGGGAUAUAAUUGACGUAUUACAUUGUAUUUAUAUUAUUUGCUUAUAUGAUUUGGGGGCAAAACUUUAUCAAGUCCACACACAGACACAAAGGGCAGGUAGCAUUCAGAUCAGCAUUGUUUAGAGUUUACAAGUGAAUUUGGACGAAUCAGCUUCUUGUUAAACUUUCCCAUUCGUAGGCAAGUUAUAUCUCCCCAUAUGUUCAGAUAUUUAAUGCCCCCCAAUAAAAGUUUACCAUUUUAUGCAGAAUGACCUUGACGAUUAUUUGUAGAUUUGUCCUUCAAUUACCCAGUCUUUGUUUUUGUUCUGAGAGGGCUCUUUUGAAAAGAAAUCAUUUUUUUUCUGUAAGAAGUUGUUGCUGGUGAAUAGGUCUCUUUUGAGUUGUGGGAGGUGAUCUGUUGUCCAGCAGCAGCCUUGGUGAAAUCUGUAACAUUUCUGAUUGUUUGCAAAUUUUCCUGGUUUUUUAAUGUAGGCAGGUAUCCUGGGCAAAUAAUUAUAAUUUGUAUCUUUUUCACCAAAUUUCCCGCUUUUUCUCGACCCACUGGGCUGGUUAUGACCUUAGAUAUAAAGCUGAAUAUGUGCAAGAAUGGUGGAAAUCUGCAUCUUGCCUGUCAUUCCAGGAAUGCUCUGUACUUUACCUAGUCUGUGGAUUGUUUGCUGUAUCUUUCUUUUCUUUUUUUUUUUAAAGAUUUUAUUUUUCCUUUUUCUCCCCAAAGCCCCCCGGCUACAUAAUUGUAUAUUCUUUGUUGUGGGUCCUUCUAGUUGUGGCAUGUGGGACGCUGCCUCAGCGUGGUUUGAUGAGCAGUGUCAUGUCCAUGCCCAGGAUUCGAACCAAUGAAACACUGGGCCGCCUGCAGCGGAGCGCACGAACUUAACCACUCAGCCACGGGGCCAGCCUGCUGUCUCUUUCUAGCAGAGGUUUUUAAAUCAGAUUUUAAUAAUUUUAUUCCUUGCUUUCCAGGAUGUUACUAACAUUUUAAACUAUGACUGGGUACUAACUAUUAACAACUGCUUUUUCUGCAUCUACUGAGGUGUGAUUUGAUUAUUAUUUUUUCUGGUUAAUCUAUUAAAAUGAAUCUCUUUGAUUCUGUGCCACUCUCUCAUAAGCGUGGUUCCAUUCAUGAGUAUGUUUUAAUGUUUAUCAUUACAAUGGUAUAAAGUCCAACAUUUUUGGGUUUUUUUUUUCAUGAGGAAAAUUGUUGCUGAGCUCACAUCUAUGCCAGUCUUCCUUUAUUUUGUAUGUGGGUGGCUGCCAUAGCAUGGCCACCAACC